AUGGCAACAGUCCCUGAAAAGGUACUGGUUAAGAAACUUUCAAAGGUUCACAGAAGACAUCUGCACCAUCAAAGCAUCUAUACCAUUCGUGUAAUUACAAAGUGCCUGAAAAUUGUCCAGGUCUCACUUGAAUUACAAUAUGCAAUUGCAUACACAUCAGAUACAAUAUCUUUAACAUAUAGAGUAUAUAUAGUAUCUGAUUUGUAAGGUUUAUUUAAUUCUCAUAUCGAUAGUUUGAAGCCACAUGGUUUAGUAGAAUUCACUCUAAACCCUGUCUAUAUACUCCGAUACUCUAUAUGCAUAUAUAUAAGGUUUAUAUGUAGUACUUUUACUUACUGUAUGUAAUCAUAUACACAAUAUACAACAUAUACAUAGUUUAUGCAGUAAACACACUGUAAAUGAUACACUAUACACAACAUAUCUACAUGUGCAUGCAGUGCACACAUUAUCAGACACACAAUUUGCAUACAUAGGAUUACAGUAUAUAUAGAAAAAUACAUAUAUACAUUAUGUGAAUAUACAGGGUGCAAUUUGCCGGGGAGGAGGAGGAUUUCCCUGCCUCUGCUUUAGAUAUCCCCCUUCUGGUCCUUAAAUUUUGUCUCUGGAGGGGAUCAAUUAUAUCCGUUUCUAGUCAGACUGAAUGCAUAUUCCAUCAGUAGAUGGUGCUAUCAAGUAAAGCCCUAUUUGGAUGUGAUUAGUUUUCCGGACAAAUGUCUGACUGUGAUAAAUUACUGCAGACAUCUGUAAUGUUAACUUCUGAUUCUCAAAGGAUAAGGGAUGUCUGUAGAGAUCCCAGAGAUUGUUGUGUAAACUCACUGCAUUGACACACUGACGUCACACGUAAAUAAAACAUCAGAAAAUGUAUAGCUGUGCUGAUUAUCAAGAAAUAUUAAACAUAAACAUAUGUUGUUGCUGGUUUGGGAUUAUUAGAAUAAAUUGAUUGGAAUACCUUAGUGAGCCUGUAAUCCUAUAUUACACUCUUGAAUUAAAAAUAUGGACAGUCCGUUCACGUUAUGUAUUUAUUUAUGACCCUUCCGAAACUAUGCUUGUGUUGUGUAAUAAUUUCCCUUAUCAAAAGAAAACAUGCUGGUUUGUUUCUCUUUUUCAUGGGUAAAUAAACACAUAAUUGCAUUAAAUGCUUGAAAAAACAUGCAUCCAUCCAUACGCAACA